rnacentral:rRNA from 1 species
AAUACAUGMAGUCGAGCGGMGGUAUGGGAGCUUGCUCCUGAAGUCAGCGGCGGACGGGUGAGUAACACGUGGGCAACCUGCCUGUAAGACUGGGAUAACUUCGGGAAACCGGAGCUAAUACCGGAUAAUGCAYARCCUCUCAUGAGGCUAUGCUGAAAGAUGGUUUCGGCUAUCACUUACAGAUGGGCCCGCGGCGCAUUAGCUAGUUGGUGAGGUAACGGCUCACCAAGGCAACGAUGCGUAGCCGACCUGAGAGGGUGAUCGGCCACACUGGGACUGAGACACGGCCCAGACUCCUACGGGAGGCAGCAGUAGGGAAUCUUCCGCAAUGGACGAAAGUCUGACGGAGCAACGCCGCGUGAGUGAUGAAGGUUUUCGGAUCGUAAAACUCUGUUGUCAGGGAAGAACAAGUGCCGGAGUAACUGCCGGCACCUUGACGGUACCUGACCAGAAAGCCACGGCUAACUACGUGCCAGCAGCCGCG